ensembl:antisense 4933431G14Rik RIKEN cDNA 4933431G14 gene
AGUAGUAGAAGCCAGAUGAAGGCUUCUAAAGAUGACGGAACAUGACACCUUCAUCUGGAUUCUGGUAACCUUAACCACUGGUCAUAACUGCCUCAUGCCUCGUCUGCCAUCAAACCCGGCCACUGUUGAGUUGAUUGCUGUACUCUUGCCUGGUCAAAGUAAGAUCUUCUGGGCCUGGUGACUGAAGACCAAUGCUGGCCUGAGACCUCCGCCUCCCCCCAAGCCAUCGUAGCCACAGAGCCUAGGGUGAUCAUCUCGAUAAUGAUUUGUAUCUGUCUCAGCAGAUUUCUACCGAGACAGAUUUCAGAUGACAGGCACCACCCAGGAAUCAGUUGCAAACUACAGACUGAUCCAGAUGGCUUUGAGCCCUGGACUUGCUGAAAGCUGACAUGGACCAAGCCAGCUGAUGUGGAUUGCUCCCUGUCUCUCCAGCUGGGUCAGCUCACCAGAUGCUUCUAAUGAAUGCUCCAUUCCCUGAAUCUGAGGACGACAUCUUAAUUUCAGCAUGAAGUAGUUAAAGAGAGUAGAGUGUGCCACCCUGUGUCCUCCUCAACAGGCUGUGAUGUUAGGUCAAAAGGACCUGGCACAGGGGACAAAACGGCUGCAUAUCUUGCCCACUGGCAUACCAGGAAAGGUACUUGUUGAAACCAAAUAGACUCAGAUCUAUCAACAGGUAGGUUGACUAGCUGAAAUUGGUCUACAAUACAAUAGGGUACCUGACCUGCUUUAGACAGAACAAGGAGGUCCUGUGUGGCUUUAAGAGAAAAUUGUUUCUAUAACUGUUAGAGAUAAUCUGGCUGUCCUAAAAUAAUUAAGGAAAUAAAUAUUGCAAAAAUGGGGGGGGGGUGAAGGAGGGGCCUGUGAUGACAUAAAUGACCUGUCCCCAUUCUCAUUUUCAGGCUCCUCCUGGAUAGUAACUGAUGUCAGCCAAUGCAGGGCCUUUGACCUUUCUGUUUCUACUAAUUACUGUUGGCCCUGGCAUCAUUAAUGCCUUAACUUGAUGAUAAUUCUCAUCUGGGUACCAUUAAGCUGAUGGUUAUUAGAUCCCAGUGUAAACAGGUACCUGCCACAGAGUUGAGGAUUUGACUCAGGAUACAACCCAAGGGGGAUUGACUCAGCACCAUUUCCUGGGAACCUCAGAAUACUCGAGACCAGAGUCCACCACCUUGGCCAGUAUUUAAUUAAAGCUUGCUUCAAGUUUGGCUCAAGAUAUUGUGGUAGUGGUCUUAUUCUCAGCCAGUGGGAUUAUUAAUACAAGGUCACAGGGUGGACUUCUGGAUGAUAAAGUAAGAAGACACCUAUUUAAGCAGCUGCUAAUCCUUAAGUGCUAUAACCUGCAGUUCCCAGGAAAAAAAAGCCACACAACUGUGUUGAAGAUUCUAAACCAGCUAUGGGGUCUGAACUUUACAACUUGGGAGAGCUGGAAAGCUGUUGAUCCAGAAUCCAGAUUAUCUUGGGCUAUCUUAAUAACCCCCACUAGCCACUGCACACCCAUGUUCUACACCUGAACUAUUAACUCACAACCAACCUAAGGGCUAACACCGUCAUCACACAGUAUCUAAAACCUGCGGCAGAGAUGUCCCCACUCUGCUGUACCCUACCUACCAUGUGAUGGGUAAAUUACUUUAAUAAUCCAUGAGCUUCUUUUGUUUUGUGUCUAUUAAAAAAUUCACAUAAUUGUU